UAGGGAAUCUUUCCACAAUGGGCGAAAGCCUGAUGGAGCAACGCCGCGUGUGUGAUGAAGGGUUUCGGCUCGUAAAACACUGUUGUAAGAGAAGAAUGACAUUGAGAGUAACUGUUCAAUGUGUGACGGUAUCUUACCAGAAAGGAACGGCUAAAUACGUGCCAG
rnacentral:rRNA from 1 species